rnacentral:lncRNA from 1 species
UUUUCUAUACAUACAUAAAUCAUCCAACAGAUGUGUAAUAUUUUGUAAUGUCAAGGUUCUCAUUACAGUCAAAUGAAGUCCAUGGUCGUUAAUUCCAUGCAAUAAAAGAUCAUGAGUGUAAUACCCAUUUUCGCCCGGCCCAUAAACCAAUUAUAAACCCAAUAAAAAUAGUCCAAUUACAAUUGAAGCCCAAUCACUAAAUCCAAUUACAAUACUCACAUAACCCAAUAUCCAGAAAACCCAAUCAGCUCAAGUCACCUAACCCUAACCCAACACAAAAUAUUUUUCAGCCAACAGAAACCCUAGCAUCGGCCCUCCUUCCAGCACCGCAGCCACCAGGGCCUCCCCGCGCGUGAUGCGCCUCUGCGAGCGUGCACCUUCGUACGGCCGUACCUGCAGCAGACACAAAGAAACAGCAACAGAAAUAACCACGCAAAAAAGGAAAAUAACAGCAAGGAUAAAUUGGAAUUUUAUGAUUGUAUUUUUAAUUUUUAUUUGGAUCCGGCUAUAUAAAGCCGUUUUUGAAUCUGUAAAAGGGGUUCUUCCUCUACGCAAGAUCAAUAAAAAAAAAUUAAAUACCAGUUUUGCUCGAAGGUAGUCUCUGAUUUAUUUUAGAUAGUUUCUUUUUUUUUUCCUCUCUUUUCUUUUUAAUUCGAAAGAAGAAGCGGAAUAAAGGAGGGAAAAUCUAAAAAGCUUACCUUUUUGCCAUCGUGAGACCGAGGUUCGCCGAUUCCCAUGAAAAUCGGCUCCUUUUUGCCUUAGAAUCAAAAAACGAGGGAAAACGGAAAUUUUUUGGGUUUCCGGCAGUCGCCGACGCGAUGGUUUGGCGAGCUGGCCGACCGGAUUCUGGGUUUUGAAGGAGAAAGAGAGAGAGGUUUCUCCGUUUUUU